UACGGGGGGGGCAAGCGUUGUUCGGAAUUACUGGGCGUAAAGGGCUCGUAGGCGGCCAACUAAGUCAGACGUGAAAUCCCUCGGCUUAACCGGGGAACUGCGUCUGAUACUGGAUGGCUUGAGAUUGGGAGAGGGAUGCGGAAUUCCAGGUGUAGCGGUGAAAUGCGUAGAUAUCUGGAGGAACACCGGUGGCGAAGGCGGCAUCCUGGACCGAGAUUGACGCUGAUGCGCGAAAGCCAGGGGAGCAAACGGG
rnacentral:rRNA from 1 species